rnacentral:rRNA from 1 species
GACAGAGGGUGCAAACGUUGUUCGGAAUUACUGGGCGUAAAGCGCGUGUAGGCGGCUAUGCAAGUCGGGCGUGAAAUCCCACGGCUCAACCGUGGAAGUGCACUCGAAACUGCGUAGCUAGAGUCCCGGAGAGGAAGGUGGAAUACUUGGUGUAGAGGUGAAAUUCGUAGAUAUCUGGAGGAACACCGGUGGCGAAGGCGGCAUCCUGGACCGACACUGACGCUGAGGAGCGAAAGCCAGGGGAGCAAACGGG